UACGUAGGGGGCAAGCGUUGUCCGGAAUCAUUGGGCGUAAAGAGCGCGUAGGCGGUCCGGUAAGUCGGUUGUGAAAACUGGGGGUUCAACCCUCAGAGGCCGACCGAUACUGCCGGGCUAGAGUCCGGAAGAGGCGAGUGGAAUUCCUGGUGUAGCGGUGAAAUGCGCAGAUAUCAGGAGGAACACCAAUGGCGAAGGCAGCUCGCUGGGACGGUACUGACGCUGAGGCGCGAAAGCGUGGGGAGCAAACAGG
rnacentral:rRNA from 1 species